AGAAUCUUCCGCAAUGGGCGCAAGCCUGACGGAGCGACGCCGCGUGCGCGAUGAAGGCCUUCGGGUUGUAAAGCGCUGUCGAGGGGAAGGAAAGCGCAAGCUUGAACGACCCCUGGAGGAAGCACGGGCUAAGUUCGUGCCAGCAGCCGCGGUAAGACGAACCGUGCGAACGUUGUUCGGAUUCACUGGGCUUAAAGGGCGCGUAGGCGGGUCGCCAAGUCAGGGGUGAAAGCUUUCGGCUUAACCGGAAAAGUGCCCCUGAUACUGGCGGUCUUGAGGGAGGUAGGGGCAGCUGGAACUUCCAGUGGAGCGGUGAAAUGCGUUGAUAUUGGAAGGAACUCCGGUGGCGAAAGCGAGCUGCUGGACCUCUUCUGACGCUGAGGCGCGAAAGCUAGGGGAGCAAA
rnacentral:rRNA from 1 species